CAGAAUAGAAGAUUGGUGCACGUCACAGAGAGAACAGGCAGAUCGUAAAGACGCCGUUAAUCCCUCCUUGGAGGCUCGAGCCGCGCCAUCCCUGGCGCGGACGCUUU
rnacentral:ncRNA from 1 species